GACGAACGCUGGCGGCGUGCUUAACACAUGCAAGUCGAACGAAGUGGCGAACGGGUGAGUAACGCGUAAUCAACCUGCCCUUCAGAGGGGGACAACAGUUGGAAACGACUGCUAAUACCGCAUACUGAAGGAGGGGAUUGCGUCUGAUUAGCUAGUUGGAGGGGUAACGGCCCACCAAGGCGAUGAUCAGUAGCCGUGUGGGAGGGAUGAAGGGCAACAUGGGGACUGAGACACGGCCCAGACUCCUACGGGAGGAAGAAGGGGGGAAUCUUCCGCAAUGGAGGAAAGUCUGACGGAGCAACGCCGCGUGAGUGAUGACGGCCUGCGGGUUGUAAAGCUCUGUUAAUCGGGACGCGGUACCGGAAUAGAAAGCCACGGCUAACUACGUGCCAGCAGCCGCGGUAAUUC
rnacentral:rRNA from 1 species